rnacentral:lncRNA from 1 species
CUGCACCGACGGUCCCUUCUUCUCGAGCCUGGAAGAGGUCCAUGCCUUCUUGAUGUCCGAUGACACCUUCAUUGCCUCCACUACGAUCCCAGGGGCCUCGCUGUCAUCCUCAACCGGCCUUGCCGCGGAGCAAACGGAGUUGCAAGCCUGCUUGAGGUCUGAUUCGACCACGGUCGAAAAGGCUUCGAUGUCAUCGUCGAACGACUCUGUUGGGUGUGCGCAGACGGAGAACAUAGAUGACGACGACGGCUUGCUGCAAGAGAUUGAAGCCUUCAUGAAGGACACCGCAAUGGAUUCGACUAUGAUCUCGUGGUUGGAGCAGUAGCUUUGUUUGUAUGGAAAAUACUGUUUGUUCAUGUAUAUCAUAAUAAUGGAAGGAAAAGAAAACGUAUGUUCCUGUAAAAAUUCGCCAAUAACACGAUACAUUUUUCAUCCCAACCCAUGUAUUUGUUGUCUCCUUUGAUGCGAUGUUGGUCUCCAUAGGAUGGUAUAACGAAUGAACCAGCAAUCUGAGAGAGAGAGGUCACAGUGUUCUCCCAAUGCAUCAACAUACCAUAGUGGGCAAGCAUUCUAUUUGCCCACCAUCCUCUAUCAUCAACUUCUCACAAAGUUAGUAAUUGCUGGUUUAGAUGAUUGGUAUUUGAUCUGGAAAUACAAAAACAUGAGGCACAAUUGGGAACUGAUGAUGUUCUUUUUAUGCAUCCAAAAAGAUAACUAGUUUUCAUUAGUGUAAUUGAUUGCUCAUUCAUUUGUCUUAAACCAUGAAUGAUCAACCAUUGAGCAAAAGAAUAGAAAUGAGAUGCAACUACUGCAUUUACAGUGCUAAUUCCUGUGGUACACACAAACCUUGACAGUGCUAAUUCACUUGAUCAUAUAUUUAGUAACAUCUACACACCACUAAUGCUAACACACUCACUGAUCAUAUAUUUAGCAACAUCUACACACCACUGUCAAAUGGGCAAUAACUAUACAACACCACCAAAUUGAGAUUUCUACAGCAUGGAGACCAUCAGUGUAGUUUCAGUUAAAAAAACUAGAAUCUAUUCUCUCGAUGCUCAAGCAAACGAUAGCUCGAUUGUCCCUGUUGACAUUUCGAUACAAUAGAUAGGUUUGGAAGUUAGAGCAAGUCUGUACAGAGGAGGCCACCAUCAAUGCCAAUCUCUACAACAUCAGUUGCACAGGUAUGCACAUCCCUUGGAGCACUGCACCAUUAGACAUCUUCCCCAUGGGUACCUCCAGCAAUUAGGUUUCCUGCGUCUAAUCCCACAGCAACAGUUGGUCGUGAAUGUGGUGCUUGUGGUGGCAGUAGCCUCCCUAUGUAUGUCUUCUCUAAAGCGAUAACAACAAUCAUAAAUUAUUAGUAUAUAAGCAGAGUCUGUAAACAACACUAUCGUAAAAUCAGAUCAGUUCCAAUAAAAUUUUCUUAUCCAGCNNNNNNNNNNNNNNNNNNNNNNNNNNNNNNNNNNNNNNNNNNNNNNNNNNNNNNNNNNNNNNNNNNNNNNNNNNNNNNNNNNNNNNNNNNNNNNNNNNNNNNNNNNNNNNNNNNNNNNNNNNNNNNNNNNNNNNNNNNNNNNNNNNNNNNNNNNNNNNNNNNNNNNNNNNNNNNNNNNNNNNNNNNNNNNNNNNNNNNNNNNNNNNNNNNNNNNNNNNNNNNNNNNNNNNNNNNNNNNNNNNNNNNNNNNNNNNNNNNNNNNNNNNNNNNNNNNNNNNNNNNNNNNNNNNNNNNNNNNNNNNNNNNNNNNNNNNNNNNNNNNNNNNNNNNNNNNNNNNNNNNNNNNNNNNNNNNNNNNNNNNNNNNNNNNNNNNNNNNNNNNNNNNNNNNNNNNNNNNNNNNNNNNNNNNNNNNNNNNNNNNNNNNNNNNNNNNNNNNNNNNNNNNNNNNNNNNNNNNNNNNNNNNNNNNNNNNNNNNNNNNNNNNNNNNNNNNNNNNNNNNNNNNNNNNNNNNNNNNNNNNNNNNNNNNNNNNNNNNNNNNNNNNNNNNNNNNNNNNNNNNNNNNNNNNNNNNNNNNNNNNNNNNNNNNNNNNNNNNNNNNNNNNNNNNNNNNNNNNNNNNNNNNNNNNNNNNNNNNNNNNNNNNNNNNNNNNNNNNNNNNNNNNNNNNNNGGAACAAUGUAUAUAGUGUAUUCAUGGAUCACAACCAAUAUCUCAUUUCAUUUCACAAAAAAAAAGAAUUUGGCACAAAAAUUGGUUAAUUGCAAUGAAACUACUGAAUGAUGUUGUGAUGUGUCCCACAUAAUUUUGAUAGAUCUGUCUUAUAUAUUCAAACACAAUUUUUGUGGCAUCGGUAAUCAACAUUAAUAUGAUUUAUAGCAAGCAUCUAUACCUUCAUUUACUAAAUUCAAUUAAACCAAAGCAUGCCAAAUAUUAUCGUAAAAAAAAAAAUACACUAUGAUGGAUAAUUCACUAAAAGGUUUGACUAUGACACAAUUGAAAAAAACACAUUCGAUCAAGAUCAGAAUAAUUUUCAUUUUAUAACUAAAAUCCACACAAUAUAUAUAUAUAUAUAUAUAUAUAUAUAUAUAUAUAUAUAUAUAUAUAUAUAUAUAUAUAUAUAUGUAUAUUCAGUAACAAAUGAGGCCACAUAAAUCUAGAAUAGGCCCCAAUAACCAAAAAAACUAGAUAAUGGGUAUACUUAGAUACCAUGUAUUCUUGCUUGCAUCUAUAACUUUAUUAUGAUACAUAUAUAUGAGAAAAUAAUGUAUUUGUUGUUGUAGGAUACUACCAUGGGUCUCCUAUGAUGGCACCACCUCAAUAUGCAACUCCACCACCCAAGGGAAGUGGCUUUUUGUAAGGAUGAUUAGUGAUCCAGUGUUCAUGACUUCUUCGUUUCUGCUUUUAAAGAUUUGUUAUAAUACUCUGUAACCAAAAAGCUUUUGUUUCUAUGUUUAUCUGUUUUUUAUUUAAUAAAAGUAUUCGACAAUAGAGGAGUAUUAUCUUUAGCUGAUGAACAGAGAUUAAAUGGAACAUUGGAAAUUAGACAUGAUUUGCAUCUUGGAUGGAUGAUCUAUUUUGCAUCUUAUUUCACAUCUCGGCAUGCAACCUAUUUGGUCAAUUCUUACUGUAGAGCUUUUAUGUAGAAGAGGAACUUUGAUUUGUAAAACAUAUAUUUCGAAGAGUUUGGUUGAGAUGAAGUUGCUAAAUAAACUACAAAUGACCUUCGUUUUGUCCUCGAAAAUAAUUAUUUUUAAACUAUAGAAAAUUGAAAUAAUGUUGUUGGUGCAGCUAAAACAAACUUAUAACUAAAAUUUUUAUUUUAUUGCACUGGUAUAAUUGUUAGCUAAACAUCAAUUCCUGUUAUUUUUUAUGUUGUGCGAUAUAUUACUCUUAUGGUUGCAUAAUAUUAACAGAUGACUUCAAGGAAUGGGGAAAAAUUGAAUAUUUUUUGCUGCUUAUUUAUCAAGAUAUAGGUACAAAACAUAUUUGUUUUCAUCAUUAAUUUUGCCUUUAGCAACAAAAUAUAUUUCAUCUCCAAUAUUGAUUAUAGCAACAAGAUAUUCCAUUACUAGUAAAACUCUUCAGCAAGAAUUUUAUAUUUUUCGGUGAAAUAGUUAUUUUCUCAUUUAAAGGUUAAUUUCAUGUAAUUUGGAGGUAUUUUAAUCAUCAAGAUCUUGUACUUGUUUGACAGGAAUAUAAAUAGUGAUUCACUUGCAGAUUAUAUUUUAGAGCAGAAAGUCAAUUUUCUUAAUAGGAAAAGUCAACUUUUUAUUUUUUAAAAUUAGAGAAGACUGGAAACUUAUGCCCACAGGUUUUAAUAAGGACAAAAUUUUCCCUAACUAGCUUUUUAAACAACGCAAAUUUAAUUAAAAGAAAACAAUGUUAGAAAAACUCUUCAGCAAGAAUAUUUUUAUUUUUCAGUGAAAAUUUAUUUUCCCUUUUAAAGGUUAAUUUUAUAUAAAUUUGGAGGUAUGUUAUUCAUCAAGAUCUUGCAGUUGUUUGACAAGAAUACAAAUACUGUUUCAUUACAGAGUAUACCUUAGAGCAGAAACUUAAUUUUCUUAAUAGGAAAAAGGCAAAACUUUUCUUUCUUUAAAAUUAGGGAAGAGUGGAAACAUAUGCUCACAGGUUUUACGAAGGACAAUUUUUUCCCUAACUAGCUUCUUAAACAACGAAACUUUAAUUGAAAGAAAUCAAUGUUAAUCAAUAAAUCUGCACAAAAAACGAGAUCACAAAAUAAACUGCCUACUUUUAUUUCUUUUGUGAAAUGGAGAUCACUUACUACGGUUUUUUGAUGACUUCGCCACUGACUAGAAUGUUUUGUUUCGCAGCCUUGCUGCCCUGUACUGCUGCUUUUGUUGACGAGUGCUGCUUGGAUCCAGGCAUCCUAUUUGCUGCCUUUAAACACACUUGAAGUAUCUGCUGUGAAGCUGUAAUCAAAAUUUCAAGCUUGAAAGUGUUUCAGCAUCUUUAUUUAGAGAAACUUCCAUAAAAGUAUGUUUCGCUGUGGUUAGCAGUGAUGGCCACAAGAACAUAAAUAAGAAGAUUCAUGAAUGUCAAAUAACCUUUCUCAGUGAUCAUUCUGCAUCAAUCCAGUCUGCUACAUGGAAGAAUCUGAUUACUUUAGUUAACACUUUUGCUACUCAUUUCUUAUCUAUUAGAACCAUUAGGGUCUUCGAAACUGAAAAUCUGAUAUUAACAUUAACCAAUAUUUUUUAGAUAAUUUUUUAGUGUCAUUUAUCAUGACUAACUCGAUGAGUUAACUGUCUCAUUAACUUGACAAAUCAAUUAUAGUAAAAUCAUCUGAAUCCUUAUAAACCAAUGUUGAUACUUAAACUCAAGUUAACUAUAGUAGACUCAUAUAAUCCUUAUAAAUCGAUACAAUUCUCUUCGAACAUCUGAAAAUGUGACAUUACAAGUGAUGAGAUGUGAGGUUAAUUCUCUGGUGAGAUCUUCCCAAAGUCAUAAAUCAUAAAAUAUAUCAAAUGUAUACCAAGGUUUGACUUAUCGGUCGACACCGGUGUGCCGCCCAGUACCGGUGUACCGACACAUGGUACAUUGGUGCAUACUGAUAUUUCGACAAGGAAGAAAAUAAGGUUGAAGUGGAUGGUCCGAUGGAGGAAUAGAGGAGGAAGAAGGAAGAAGACGAAGAAAAAAAAAAGGAGGAGGAAAGGAAGUGCAGCGAUACCUGGGAAGCAGCGGCAGCGUCGAAGGGAAGCAGCAGCAACAUCGCAUCGGCGAUGCGAUGUGAGGGAAUGCCACGGCAUCGUACGCGAGAAGAGGAGCCCUAAUAUGCCUUUUGAAUUUUUUUAAUGCCGAAAUGAACUGGGGUCCACCCCUUUUUAAUUUUUUAUUAUUUUAAUUCGGACAACCCCAAAAAGGCCUAUCCAUGUAUCAAUACAAUGCUUAGACCUAUACGUACCACCCAAACCGCACUGUACGGCGGGUACAACAAUCCUUGAUGUAUGCAAUCAUACCUCAGUCUUCAAGAUCCUCCGUCUUGAAGACACCCACCAAAGAAAUGCUUGAAUGUCUUCAAGAAUCACUCUGUCCAACCCCGAGCGCCCAUUCUCUCUCCUCUCCAACUCUUCAAGAAUCCUCUGCUCCCUUCUCCUUCUUCUCCUCGUUCAUUUCCUCUCGUCCCCUCUCCGGAAACUUUAGUCAUCCAUGGAGCCCGUCGACCUCGUUCCGUCAGGCUACAGAUUCCUUCCCACGGCGGAUGAACUCGUGGUCGACUACCUCGCCAACUGGGUCGCCGGCAAACCCCUCCCUGGCCGCGCUGUCGCCUUCGCCGACGUCUACGGCACCGAGCCGUGGAAUCUUCUCGGCAGCGAUCGGAAGGAGGGCUAUUUCUUUGCGGAGCGCCAGCCCAAGGCCAGCGGCGGCUCGCGCGUCGAUCGAACGGCCGGCACCGGUUCUUGGCUUCUGAACAGAAGGCAAGAACCCGUCAAGUCCAUCGUCGACGGGCGCGAGAUCGUGGUGGGAAGAAGGAGCUACCUUUCCUUCAAGGACGGCCGGCGGAAGAACUCCGGGUGGGUAAUGUAUGAAUACCAGAUGUGUUCAUCCACCUUCGAGACACGAGUUCUCUGUCACGUGAAGAAGAGCUCGUAUCAACCCGUCUCCGGCGGCAAGUUCAUGAAAUCGGUUGAGUCCACGUUCACGGAGGCCACGACGGAGACGCUCACCGGCGCCAGCAGUUUCGUUGGGCAGAAGAGAAAUAGAGAGGAAUCUUCUACUCUCUCAUCAGCAGCACCCAAGAAGCCAUGCCGGGGGUUGGUUGCACAUUCCAACGGAGCAUUCCAGUCCGACCUCUCACCACCUCCGACCGCGGUGGUGCAACAGCUCUUAUUGGCUCCCGUCGUGACAAUCCCGGAGAGUCGUCUUUCCUCCAUCGACUCCGUGGCACCGAACGAAGCCGGAGUCCCAGCCGCCUCCCCAUCGUCAACGGACGUUGGUGGAGGUGACGUCGGGAUAACUGCGGAAGAACUCGAAGCAUUUGACCUCGGGAUGACUGCGGAGGAGCUCGAAGCAUUCUUGGCUUCGCCUUCGUCGUCGGUCGAUCUUGGCGGUGAUCAGCACUGCACCGACGAUGCUUUCUUUACCAGAGAGGUUGAUGCUCUCUUGAUGUCCGAUGCCACCGACACAGUCUCGACUACCAUCCCCAAGGCCUCGCCGUCAGGCCCCUUCUUCACGAGCCUGGAAGAGGUCCAUGCCUUCUUGAUGUCCGAUGACACUUUCAUUGCCUCGACUACGAUCCCAGGGGCCUCGCUAUCAUCCGAGUUGCAAGCCUGCUUGAUGUCUGAUUCGACCACGGUCGAAAAGGCUUCGACGUCAUCGUCGAACGACUCUGUUGGGUGUGCGCAGACGGAGAACAUAGACGACGACGACGGCUUGCUGCAAGAGAUUGAAGCCCUCAUGAAGUUCGAUGACACCCCAAUGGAUUCGACUAUGAUCCCGUGGUUGGAGCAGUAGCUUUGUUUGUAUAGAAAAUACUGUUUGUUCAUGUAUAUCAUAAUAAAGGAAGGAAAAGAAAACAUAUGUUCAUGUAAAAAUUGGCAAUAACACAAUUCAUUUUUCAUCCCAACCCAUGUAUUGUUGUCUCCUUUGAUGCGAUGUUGGUCUCCAUAGGAUGGUAUAACGAAUGAACCAGCAAUCUGACAGAAAGGUCAUUGUAGUGGGCAAACAGCCAAUAUGCCCUCUACUUUUCAUUAGUGUAAUUGAUUGCUCACUCAUUUGAGUUAAAACAUGAUUGAUCAACCAAAGAGCAAAAUAAUAGAAAUGAGAUACAACUGCAUUGACAGUGAUAAUUCCUGUGGUACACACAAACCAUGACACUGCUAAUUCACUCACUGAUCAUAUAUUUAGCAACAUCUACACACCACUGGUGCUAACUCACUCACUGAUCAUAUAUUUAACAAUAUCUACACACCACUGGCAAAUUGGCAAUAACUAUACAACACCACCAAAUUAAAGAUUCAGUUAAAAAAAACUAGUAUCUAUUCUCUCGAUGCUCAAGCAAACCAUAGUUCGAUUGUCUCUGUUGACAUUUCGAUACAAUAUAUUGGUUUGGAAGUUAGAGCAAGUCUGUACAGAGGAGGCCACCAUCAAUGCCAAUCUCUACAACAUCAGUUGCACAGGUAUGCACAUCCCUUGGAGCACUGCACCAUUAGACAUCUUCCCCAUGCGUAGCUCCAGCAAUUAGAUUUCCUGCGUCUAAUCCCACAACAACAGUUUGUCGUGAAGGUGGGUGGUUGUGGUGGCAGUAGCCUCCCUAUGUAUGUCUUCUCUAAAGCGAUAACAACAAUCAUAAAUUAUUAGCACAUAAGCAGAGUCUAUAAACAGCUCUAUCGUAAAACCAGAUCAGUUCCAAUAAAAAUUUUCUUAUCCAGCAAAGUCUACAGUAUUCACUUUGGUGAGUGCAAAGCAGAAGUCAAAUGACAAUUUGAAUUCAUCAAAGUGACUAAGGAAUUGACAAUAUUUUCCGAACCGAUCACUGAAUGCAGAAAUUAAGCAUAGCAUCUGACAGGAAUCAAUAAAUUUAAGAAACUGAUAGACUCUUUAAUAUAAGUUCAAACUUUCUGAUACAAUGGAAAAACAUUAACCAAAUUCAGUCCAUUGUUAAGGAUACAAUUGCCACUACUUUGCAAAGAAAGCUUUUAAAUCCUUCUCAACAGAAAGAAUCAAACCACUGAUUGUUUGCAGGACAAAACGUGAUGAAUUUAAGACAAAGCACUUGCAUGAAUUACAAAAACUGGGCAAUUGACAUUUUUAAUUUUGUUAAUGUUCUGCAUCAAAAGCUUAAAUGAAUCAAUAUAUAACACCUCUAAAGCAAGUAAAAUGCAAAGUAUAAAUCAAUAGACAAGUGAAAAGCAUGUUAAAUGAGGAUGGUUAAAUGGAACCAGAUAAAAGUUCAGUUUGCAUUGCUUUGAAAGAAAAUUUUAGAGGACUCAACAUCAAGUUAAUGAUUGUGAGCUUAUCUAGCCCUAUAAACCAUCACAAUUAUUCUUCCACUUCUGAUACGAUGCUAAUCGAGAUAAUUUUGGUGACUGAACUUACUUAGCUUACAUUCAAGAAAUAAUUCAGCAACAAUGCAUAUAGUGUAUUCACUGUUCACAACUAAUAUCUGAUUUCAUUUCACAAAAAAAAAAAAUCGGCACAGAAAUUGGUUAAUUGCAAAGAAACUACUGAAUGAUGUUGUGAUGUGUCCCACAUAAUUUUGAUAGAUCUGUCUUACAUAUUCAAACACAAUUUUUGUGACAUCGAUAAUCAACAUUAAUAUGAUUUAUAGCAAGCAUCUAUACCUUCAUUUACCAAAUUCAAUCAAACUAAAGCCUGCCGGAUAUUAUCAAAGAAAAAGAAUUACACUAUGAUGGAUAAUGCACUAAAAGUUUUGACUAUGACACAAUUGAAAAAAACACAUUGGAUCAAGAUCAGAAUAACAUUUUAUAACUAAAAUCCACAUCAUGUAUUCUUGCUUCAAUAAAAAGAUGCCUUUACAACUUUAUUAUGAUACAUAUAUAUAUAAGAAAAUAAUGUAUUUGUUGUUGUAAGAUACAAACAUAGGUCUCCUAUGAUGGCACCACCUCAACAUGCAACUCCAUCACCCAAGAGAAGUGGCUUUUUGGAAGGAUGAUUAGUGAUCAAGUGUUCAUGGCUUCUUCAUUUCUGCUCUUAAAGAUUUGUUAUAAUACUCUGUAACCAAAAAGCUUUUGUUUCUGUGUUUGUCUGUUUUUUGUGUAAUAAAAGUACUCAAUAUUAGAGGAAUAUUAUCUUUAACCGAUGAACAAAGAUUAACGGAACUGUGGAAAUUAGACAUGAUUUGCAUCUUGGAUGGAUGAUAUGUUUUGCAUCUUGUUUCACAUCUCAACAUAUAACCUAUUUGGUCAGUUCUUACUGUAGAGCUUUUAUGUAGAAGAGGAACUUUGAUUUGUAAAACAUAUAUUUUGAAGAGUUCGCUUGAGAUGGAGUUGCUAAAUAAACUAUAAAUGAUCGUCUAAAAUAUUUUUUUUAAAACUAUCGAAAAUUGAAAUAAUGUUGUUGGUGCAGCUAAAACAAACUUAUAACUAAAAUUUUUAUUAUAUUGCAUUGGUAUAAUUGUUAGCUAAACAUCAAUUCCUGUUAUUUUUUCUGUUGUGUGAUAUGUUGCUCUUAUGGUUGCAUAAUUUUAACAGAUUACUUCAAGGAUUGGGGAAAAUUUGAAUAUUUUUUGCUGCUUAUUUAUCAAGAUAUAGCUACAAAAUAUAUUUCUUUUCAUCACCAAUUUUGCCUUUAACAACAAAAUAUAUUUCAUUUCCAAUAUUGAUUGUAGCAACAAGAGCUUCCAUUACUAAUGUAAUUUGGAGUGAAAAAGUUAUAUUCUCAUUUAAAGGUUAACUUUAUGUAAUUUGGAGGUAUUUUAAUCAUUAAGAUCUUGCAUUUGUUUGACAGAAAUAUAAAUAGUGAUUCACUUACGGUGUAUACUUUAGAGCAGAAAGUCAAUUUUCUUAAUAGGAAAAGUCAAAACUUUUUCUUUUUUUUAAAUUAGAGAAGACUAGAAACUUAUGCCCACAGGUUUUAUCAUGGACAAAUUUUUCCCUAACUAGCUUUUAAAACAACGCAAAUUUAAUUGAAAGAAAACAAUGUUAAUAAAUAAAACUGCACCAAAAAUGAGAUCACAAAAUAAACUGCCUACUUUUAUUUAUUUUGUGAAAUGGAGAUCACUUACUAUGGUUUUUGUGAUGAUUUCUCCACUAAUUAGAAAGCUUUGUUUUGCAGCCUUGCUGCCCUUGCUGCUGGUUUCUUACUGAUGAUUGCUGCUUGGAUCCAGCCAUCCUAUCUGUCGGCUGAUAUCAGUGAUCGAUCUUGAAGUAUUUGCUGCCUUUGAACACACUUGAUCUGCUCGGAAGCUGCAAUCAAAAUUUCAGGCUUGAAAGUGUUUCUGCAUCCAAGAAAGACCAAUGUAACUAAAAUUGCUAAAAAAUUCAAGAAGAUGAGUAAAAAAUAUUGUAGUCAAAGAAAGAGGCAGACUUCAUACAUGUCAAAGCAGAACGAGAAAUUGACAUGGCAAACCACACAAAGUCCCGAAGACAGAACUGUGAAGCACUUCACGAAAUGCAAUGCCAAUGGAUAGCCCAUACAAGAUCAAAUCUUGCACUUACGAUAUGUUCCGUCAGCUCCGACCCACAAACCACAAGCCAACACCAGUGCAGAUAUCUCCAUCUUCGUUAGUCCAAUAAGCUAUCAGGUAAUCAAGCAGAAAGCAGAUGAUCAAUGUCCUUUCUUUAAAAGAUAUGUCAGUCUUUUUACAUAAAACAGAAUAUGAAAACUCUACAUCUAAUUCUUUAUCCUCUGAGAUAUCCAUAAUAAUGUUGGACAUUGAUCUAUAUGACCCUAUCAUCAUUGUAAAGAAUAUUGAAAUGGAUGUGUUUAAAGAACAAGUGAUUUUGUUUGCCCGAAUCAGUCUUGUCCCACUAAGUCUUGCCCAAGAAUCCCCAUAGAGGCAUAUCAUCAUAAUACAUUUCAAAGUAGUAGUCCCUUGAAUACAGCAUGAUGUCUGUACUUUGCAACAUCUUCUUUUGAUAAGUUUUUGUUACAAAGAGACUUUGACUGCUUUUCCUCCAGAAAAUUUAACCAUAUGGAGCAUUGACCAAAUUGAUAAGUUCUUCUUACAAAGAGACUUUGACUGCUUUUCCUCCAGAAAAUUUAACUAUAUGGAGCAUUGACCAAACGAUCACCAAUUAGAACUUCCCCAAUAGCUUCUUUUGAUCUAAUAAAUCAGCAAAGUUAGUAUUCCCAACAGACUCAUGCAGCUUAGUAGUCAGUGGAACAGUAAGGAUAGUCAAGAACGAGCAGAAUGGCAAGUCAUAGUAAGCAUAUGUCUCACUGCAGAUGCAAAAAGGAAAGGGCUCAUAUUUAAGAGACACUGAAAUGUUAAGUAAAUAAUAAAUAUCCUAAAACAAGAGCAUCACUAAAAAGUGUCAAUAAGAGGAUCAAAGGCAGCAGAAUAACAGGACAUGGUAAUGUUUAAGGCUAUAAACAAGCAAGUUGAAAAUAACCCUAACAAUCCACAACAAGCAGCAUAUACAUAGACAUGUAAAAAUGGUAAAGAACUAAAACCACUACAACAUGAAGCACACCAAAGAGAAGAUUUUUGAAGACUUGACAUGGUGCAAGGUCUAAAAUCCCUGAUCUUUUAUAGAUUUUGGUUUGCUAUAAAAGAAAUAUUGACAAAUCAAGAUAAAACAAUGGUAAAGGAUCGGAAACACUACCCUUUGAUGUGAACCAAACUUAGGAGUCCCCCAUUCAUGGGAGAGAUCAGAGAUCAUAUUUAAAAACAACUAUCAGCAAAUCAACAUAAAUUUAUCUAAUGGUAAAGGAUCAGAACCACUCCAAAUUGACACAUGCAAAAGCAAAGAUUUUUUUUGCUUUGACAUUGUCCAAAUUUAGUUAUCCCUAAUCUUGUUUUGAGAAUUUGGCAUUUUCAUUGAAAAAGAAACUAUCAACAAAUUAAAGUGAAAUUAAAUAGCAGUAAAAUAUCGGAACCAUCAUAGCAUGAAGUGUAGCAAAUAAAGAAUUUUUUGAGCUUUGACGUGAUCCAAACUCAGCAAUCCCUAAUCUGUUAUGGAGAAUUGGGCUUUUUCAAUUGAGAAAACAACCAUCGAUGAACAGAAAUAAAAAUAAAUGCAUUCAUUCUAAAUCACAACAUAUUUUAAGAAAACUAAAGGGGACACACAAAGCAAUGUAUGGCAAAAUACGAACCUAAUAACAAUCGUAGCAAAGACAUCCCAUCCGCAAACCCAAGCAGAAGUGCCGAAGCGAUAAUGCAGCAAUAACGGAAAGGAAAUCAACUUGGGUUGUGAACAGAUGUGAUUCAGCGAUUGGAAACAGUGGUCGAUCAGGAUACUGUUGCUUUUGGUUGUUAGUACAUCCAGACAUGAGGCAGCAAAUUGGACCAAGCAUCCUUCAACACGUGUCCGUAUGAAGUGACAAUUACAUUAUCUGGUUUAAACGGAGAAAAUUUGACCAUCCAUCUUGGAUGGAUGAUCUGUUUUGCAUCUUGUUUUACAUCUUAUCAUUGCAACCUACUUGGUCAGUUCAUACUUGGUCAAAACUAAUUUUUUCCCUAAUUAGCUUCUGAAACAAGGCAAGUUUAAUCGAAAGAAAAUAACGUUUAACAAUAAAUCUGCAUGAAAAAAUGAGAUCACAAAAUAAACUGCACACUUGUAUUUCUUCGGUGAAAUGGAGAUCACUUACUAUGGUUUUUGUUAUGAUUUCUCCACUCACUAGAAGAUGUUCCGUUGCUGCCCUAUGCUGCUGCUUUCUUAUUGAUGAGUGCUGGUUGGAUCCAGCCAUCCUAUUUGUCUACUGAUAUCACUUCUCAAUCUUGGACGAAAGAAGAAGAAGAAGAAGAAGAAGAAGAAAAAGGAGUAGAAGUGCGGCGAUACCUGGAAACAGCGGCAGCGUCGAAGGGAAGAACAGUUAUAACAGCGGCAAAGCGGCGAAGGGGCAACAUUGCAGCGGCGAAGAAGAGGCAACAUUGCAGCGGCGAAGAAGAGGCAACAUUGCAGUGGCGAAGGGGCAACAUUGCAACGGCGAAGAGGCAACGCUAGUGUUUCGUUGUGUAGAGCCGCUGCCUCUUCACCAUAAGAUCUGGGACCCAUAGCGGUGAAGUGGGGCAACAUUGCAGCUGCGAGGAGGUAUAUUAUAAUAAUAUACACAGUAAAAGAAGAUGAAUAUGCCACAUAGACUCAUAUUAAGACCACGAAGAAUGACUAUUACGUCAAUAUCAAAUGAUUUAUUAUUAUUAUUAUUAUUAUUAUUAUUAUUAUUAUUAUUAUUAUUAUUAUUAUUAUUAUGCAUGUUAAUUUCAAAAAGCAAAUAAUAAGUAAAAUUGUACAUAACAAUAUGUAGAGACCAACAACAUUAUAUACUACAUGCAAAUGUAGCCUUAAAAUUUAAUUAUAAUAUUUUCGAUAUUAGAUCAACUGAUAGAAUUACUUAGCAGAAUAUAAAAUUACUUCCAUAUUAGAUCAAUUGAAAUGCAAACAACAUUAGAAAUGUUUUCAAAAUUGUAACUACCCAGAUCAUGGGCCUAUAAGAACUAACCUAUAACUUAUAGAUGAUGAGUCAUUUUUUUGAAACUACCCUAUAAUUACUUCUAACUACCUAAAUAACUACUAUAAAUCAAUUCUCUAACAGAAUUUUCUCGGCAGCGAUCGGCUCAACAGAAUUUUCUCGGCAGCAAUCGGCAGGGCUAUUUCUUUGCGGUGCGCCAGCCCAAGACCAGCGGCCCAGCGCUCGCGCGUGGAUCGAACGAUCGGCACCGGUUCUAGGCUUCUGAACAGAAGGCAAGAACCCGUCGAAGUUCAUCGUCGACGGGCGCGAGAUGGUGGUGGGAAGGAGCCUUCAAGGACGGCCGGCGGAAGAACUCCGGGUGGACAAUGUAUGAAUACGAGAUGUGUUCCUCCACCUUCGAGACACGGCGGCAACUUCAACAAAACGGAGACGCUCACCGGUGGCAGUUGAAGCAUUCUUGGCUUCGUCGUCGUCGCCGAGCAGCACUGCACCGACGAUGCUUUCUUUACCAGAGAGGUUGAUGCUCUCUUGAUGUCCGAUGCCACCGACACAGUCUCGACUACCAUCCCCAAGGCCUCGCCGUCAGGCAUCGUCGAUGUUCUCUUGAUGCCCGAUGACACUCGGAUAGAUUCGACCACGGUCGCAGAGGUUUCCUCGUCGAUCGACUUCGUCGUGUGUGAGCAGAUGUACUGCACCGACGGCCCCUUCUUCACGAGCCUGGAAGAGGUCUUCCAGGCCUUCUUGAUGUCGAAUGACACCUUCAACCGGCCUUGCCGCGGAGCAAAUGGAGUGCGCGGACAAUGCCCGCUCGAUAACCCCGAAAGAGUUGCAAGCCUGCUUGAUGUCUGAUUCGACCACGGUCGAACCGGCUUGGUCGUCAUCGUCGAACGACUCUAUUGGGUGUGCUGCAAGAGAUUGAAGCCUCCAUGAAGUCCGAUGACACCCCUAUGGGUUCGACUAUGAUCUUGUGGUUGGAGCAGUAGCUUUGUUUGUAUGGAAAAUACUGUUUGUUCAUGUAUAUCAUAAUAAUGGAAGGAAAAGAAAAUAUAUGUUCAUGUAAAUAUUGGCAAUAACAAAGUUCAUUUUUCAUCCCA